rnacentral:ncRNA from 1 species
CUCGUGUCGUGAGAUGUUUGGUUAAGUCCAUUAACGAGCGCAACCCUUAUGGUUAGUUGGAUUAUCUAGCCAGACUGCCCCGGUAACGGGGAGGAAGGAGGGGAUGAUGUCAGGUCAUUAUUUCCCUUAUACCUUGGGCUACAAACACGCUACAAUGGCCGGUACAAAGGGCUGCCAACCCGCGAGGGGGAGCAAAUCCCAUCAAAGCCGGUCCCAGUUCGGAUAGCAGGCUGAAACCCGCCUGCUUGAAGCCGGAAUCGCUAGUAACGGUGGAUCAGCUACGCUACCGUGAAUACGUUCCCGGGUCUUGUACUCACCGCCCGUCACGCCAUGAAAGUCGCCAAUACCCGAAGUCUGACAUUUUUGUCGGCCGAAGGUAGGGGAGAUGAUUGGGGCGAAGUCGUAACAAGGUAUCCGUACCGGAAGGUGCGGAUGGAUUACCUCCUUU